AAGGAAUAGAGAUGUAAUUAGAGUGUGCCCCGAAGCAUUCAAAACAUUCAUCAUUCAAAUCUCAGUCUUCCACUUGUCAUCUAUAGCCUGGGACACAUAACUAUUCAGGACACUGGAGAACAGAGGGAAACACCUGGCUUGUGGUCUCCAAUCAGUCUUUUCAUUCAUUUAAGGAAAUCAUCUGCUCCAGCCUACUGCUAUGUAACAGCGGGCUGCGCUGAAUCUUUAGAUCCAGACUCAACAUGGCAGUCCUAUUCCUG
rnacentral:lncRNA from 1 species